CUAAAAUAAAAUCAACUCAUUUCAUAAAAAAGGGAAAGAUAAGAAGAUUGCUGAGGCAUAGAACCCGUGAUGUUGGACAUACAAGCUUCAGAGGGAACAGAUGGAAGACCCAAAAUCAACCUCCAAUGAACUGUCUUGGACGUGUUGGAAGCAGUGAGAAACCUUGAGGAUGGACCAAGGGAUAC
rnacentral:lncRNA from 1 species